CAGAAAUCAGAAAGCUAGAGGUCUCUAACUUCAGUAGGGAACUAUGUUGUUCCAACGGUUUCACUCUAUUUAUACUGUAGUAAUUUAGACUGGGGAGUCUUUGAAUUGUAAAUCACUGAUCUGGACAUUUUACAUCUUACAUCAUUAUAAGAGAAUAACAUAAUAAUAUAAAUAUCAUUUACAUUAUUUUCUUGCCAGACAUAGAAAAGCAUGAGCAGCAAGAGAGUCAGGACAAUGGAGUUUCCUCUAAGCUUAUAAAGUUUUCUGGUGUGCUUGGGAAUGGUCAGCAAGACAUGACUCCAGGAAACUACUAAGCUGAAUGGAAUAAGCAAAUAUAAUAAAUAUCUAAGGAUAUGAUGACCCAGAAGGAGUAAAUCAGGUGACAGAAAUAGGAGUGAAGUUUCAGUUUAAGCACUCUGGAAUCUUUGCUGCAAAUUCUCCAAUGAACAGAUGCUACUUUCAAACCUCUUAACCAGUAGAGAUACUGCUUCACUCAAGUACACGGGCACCAACACUCACUCAACACCCAAAACUGUGGAGCUUGCAGUCAGGUUGAACCGGGCUCCAUUUUGGCCGACUUACUUUGGAAACAGAUUUGGUCGAUGUUCGACACUCUUUCCAACAUUUGCAGGUACCUGGUCCAUAAUAUAUGGACAUAUAUAUAUAUAAUAUGUAUAUGAUAUAUGGACAUAUAUCAUGGACAUGAACUCAGCAGCGGUCCUACUGGGGGCUACACUGGGGCAUUCACCGAAACGAGAUUGGCCAUUUGGUUCCGGAUUAAAGAGAGGCUAGUUUGCCGAUUUGGCUUAUCUAACUCAACUCACCCAGCUGACUCCUGACUAAACUCAGUGGGUUCUUGUGUGUACCUCACGUCUGGUGGUCAAGCUGGAUGGAGGUUUAGGCAGCCAUAACUUCGUCCUAGUACCUGGUUCACCAUUUAACUUGGAAGUAACACAAAACUAUUAAAAUAGUCAGAAAAACCAAGUCUUUAAUCAGGAUAGGGAUAAAUCCAGUAUUUAAUUCUUUACUCAGAGUCAGGUGCCACAACUUUUUCAGGGUAUAAAGCCUGGACUCUGGGGAUGUUAUCCCUGGAAGUGCCACAAGGCUAGAUGAUGACUCCAAGGAACAAAAGAAUUUGGGGAACCUAUAUACCAUUUGGGGGAUCCAGGGGCAGGGAAAGAUGAUUGACAUCACUAUAGCUACAAAGGAAAUGGGAGUAUUCGAACUACACUGACAAGGUACAAUCAAGCUUGGGAAAGGAAUCAUAGCUAGAGGCUAGGGUGAAAGAGAAGGGGCUGCUUCUAAUGGAUGGUUCCUGCCCAGGUGUGGAUCUUCUUGGGAAAGGAUCUCUGAUACAAUAGGGAGACUACCUAAAACACAGAAGGUCCUUCACACAAGCUUAGUCCCACCCAACUGGGAUUGUCAUUCACCUGAGGGUCUGUCACUCAGUCAGGGUGGAUUCCCAUGGGAACAGGG
rnacentral:lncRNA from 1 species